rnacentral:rRNA from 1 species
UACAGAGGGUGCGAGCGUUAAUCGGAAUUACUGGGCGUAAAGCGCGCGUAGGCGGCUUUUCAAGUCGGAUGUGAAAUCCCCGGGCUUAACCUGGGAACUGCAUUCGAGACUGUCUAGCUAGAGUAUGGGAGAGGGAAGUGGAAUUUCAGGUGUAGCGGUGAAAUGCGUAGAUAUCUGAAGGAACAUCAGUGGCGAAAGCGACUUCCUGGACCAGUACCGACGUUCAGGCACGAAAGCGUGGGGAGCAAACAGG